rnacentral:rRNA from 1 species
UACGUAGGGUGCAAGCGUUAAUCGGAAUUACUGGGCGUAAAGCGUGCGCAGGUGGUUGUGCAAGACAGAUGUGAAAUCCCCGGGCUCAACCUGGGAACUGCAUUUGUGACUGCACAGCUUGAGUGCGGCAGAGGGGGAUGGAAUUCCGCGUGUAGCAGUGAAAUGCGUAGAUAUGCGGAGGAACACCGAUGGCGAAGGCAAUCCCCUGGGCCUGCACUGACGCUCAUGCACGAAAGCGUGGGGAGCAAACAGG